UGCAGUCGUACGGAGAGCAUUCUUAGUGGCGAACGGGUGAGUAACGCGUGAGAAUCUGCCUUUAGGAAGAGGAUAACAUUUAGAAACAUUUGCUAAAACUCUAUAUGCCGUGAGGUGAAAAAAUUAUAUUUGCCUAAAGAGGAGCUCGCGUCUGAUUAGCUAGUUGGUGGGGUAAAGGCCUACCAAGGCGACGAUCAGUAGCUGGUCUGAGAGGACGACCAGCCACACUGGAACUGAGACACGGUCCAGACUCCUACGGGAGGCAGCAGUGAGGAAUUUUCUGCAAUGGGCGAAAGCCUGACAGAGCAAUACCGCGUGAGGGAUGAAGGCCUACGGGUUGUAAACCUCUUUUCUCAAGGAGGAAGAUCUGACGUUACUUGAGGAAUAAGCAUCGGCUAACCCUGUGCCAGCAGCCGCGGUAAUGCAGGGGAUGCAAGUGUUAUCCGGAAUUAUUGGGCGUAAAGCGUCUGCAGGUUGAUAUUUAAGUCUUUUGUUAAAUCUUUGGGCUCAACCCGAAAACUGCAAAGGAAACUAUUUAUCUUGAGUAUGGUAGAGGUAAAGGGAAUUUCCAGUGGAGCGGUGAAAUGCGUAGAUAUUGGAAAGAACACCAACAGCGAAGGCACUUUACUGGGCCAGUACUGACACUCAGAGACGAAAGCUAGGGGAGCAAACGGGAUUAGAU
rnacentral:rRNA from 1 species